rnacentral:lncRNA from 1 species
AAAAAUGGCCUGAAGUUGUGGGAAUGCCAGGAAGGACUGCUAAGAAAAUAAUUGAGAAAGAAAAUCCCUUAGUCAAAGUUCAUUUUUUGUUCCCUGAUAUGCUUCAACCAUUGGAUUUAGAUUGUAGUCGAGUUUUUGUUCUUGUUAACUGGAAAUUCAUCGUUCAAAUUACUCCCUCAGUGGGUUAAUAAAAUAGUUCUAUGGGACUAUUAUGGAAGAUUCAGAAUAAGUUGCCCCAAGAAUUAAUAAAUAGAGUACUGGUGUUCUAUAGUGUACUCUUUAUGUACUCUACUAUUUCGAUAUAAUAAAUAAAAUAAGUGUGGCCUUUUUAAUUUGUAUUAUUUUUAAUUCUCUUUUAUGUUGUAACUUUUUCCAGUUUUGCUUUUCUUUUUCGUUUGUUCUGCAAUUUGACAUACAGAGAGGCGUAGCUCUACUUGGUAGAAUGUUGAAGACGUUAUUAUUUUACCAUCUCUUGCUUAAAAAUCUAAAUUUAUAAAUGAGAUAACCAUAUAAUUCAAUAAUAUUGUAUAUUAUAGGAAGAGUUCAAAGGUCGAGUCUCUACCUACUACUAUUCAUCCAUGAAAAUAUGAUAACAUAUUUGACUUAAAAGUAAAAUAAAAAGAUUCCUAACGCACUUUAGCGAGCCCAUGGAAGACAUAAUUAACAUUCCAUGAAAACAAAAAUACCUCAUCUUUGAUAUAUUGUAGACAUAUAACAUUUAUUGGGAUUAAUCCACACAAAAUUUUGAUUAAUUAAUUUAAGUUUUAUAUGUUAAAUUAGACCAUUUUUUUUUUCAAGCCCAAUGUCCUUUACAUCUUAAGACCCGGAUUCAUGUCAUGUAUCAAGUGACAUGGCAUAUCUAGUCAAACUGCAUGAUAAGAAGAUGAUACCACGUGUUAAAUGAUAGCACAAUUCAAGUCAAAAAGCAAGAACCAAUCACAGGUCGCCAAGUGGCUAAAAUGACAUGAGCCAAUCAGAAUCAAGCAGGAGAGUUCACAUGUUGCUGGACUAUCUAUCCUCUACAACUAUAAAUAGAGGUGUUACAUAACUCUUAGAGGACAUUCAGAUUUGGAGAAUAACAUUCCUCAAUGGUGAAGACAUCCAAAAUAGAGAGAUCAAUCAUUGUUACACCUCCUUUUUACCCGAGGAGGGAAAUAAUAGAGUUUUUCCACAUUAAGUGAAAUUAUUCUAUAUAAGAUUAUUUAAAUAAUUUUAGAGUCACCACUUGGGAUAAUUAUCGUGUCCCAAGUCGCCGAUUUUUUUAAUCAAAUCCCAAAUUGAGUAAUAUUUGACUUUGGUUAAAGUCUGCGAAACCAGAAAGACUAAAUAAGGAAAUCUAUUAACUCGAGAGAAGAUUUUAGGCAUUUUCGGGUUCUGCAAUUUUAGCACGGUUGCUUAGCAAUUUAUACUUAGCUUAUCUUGUUUAAUUACUACCUAUGUUUAUUUUACCUCUAUUAAUCACUUGAUAAUCCCUUUUGAAGAAAUUAACCUAAGAUGAGUUACGCGUACGCAUACUCAAUUCCUAACACUUGGUUUAUUUAAGAAAAAGGUUUAGUCAAAGUUGCGUGAAUACAUACUUUGGAUUUAUUUGAGAAACGUAAUCAUAAUAACAAUUCAAAACUCGUGCCUAAAGUAUUUCUAUUAAUAUUUAACCAUGAUCAUGCGAACAUAUACCUUGGCAUCACAACUAUGUCAGGCAAGUGUAUACAUAAUUGUAAUAAUUAAUCUAAUUUAAAGGUGUACCUAAAGUUGUUAUUAUGUCUCUAAGUAUUCUACAUUGUCACAUCUCCCUUUUUAUACACUACCACGAAGGAUAUUGAAGUUUUUCCAAUUUAAGUGAGAUUAAUUAUUUAUUGCUUUUGCUAAGACUCACUACUUGGGAUAUGUUUGUUUUCUGGUGUCCCAAGUCACCGGUUUAUUUUAAAUCCCAAAUCGAUGAAAAUUCGACAUUCCCUGUGAAGUCUGCAAACCAGAAAUUCUUGAGUAACGAAUGAUGUUAACCCUAGGGAAGGUGUUAGGCACCCCAGAUUCUGUGGUUCUAGUAUGGUCACUUAAACUAUCAUGAUUGGCUAAUUAUUACAUAUUCAAACCUAUAGCGCGAUUUUAAAUUAUUUACUGUUUUCAAUUAAUUUUAAAGAAGAUUGAACGUUGUUUAAAAUAUGUCUUUGCAUUGCGUCACAUGAAAUGCACGCCCAAUCCGAAACACAUUUUAUUCAACAUUUUAGGAUUUGGAUUUGGGUCAAAUGAAAUGUACACCCGAUUUUAAGAAGGUAAAAUUAUUAAAAGACGCAUCUAAAGCAACUAAUACAUUGUUAACUUUGCGGGACGCCAUGAAAAAUAGCUAAAUGACAUGCCUUGGAUUUUAUGUAUUUUAAUAAAGGAAUAAUUAAACGAGGGCUGAGCAUCUGAGAUUUUUUUUGUCUUGGCACGCCUCAGUUUAUUUUAACUUAAAGGUUUCUAAACUAAUUCACGAGUGCCAUACACUAUGAGUUAUCUAAUUAUUCUCACUUAUAUUCCUCGAGUUAAAGUUAGACUAUAUUUUAAACAAAUGAACCCAAUUUGAGUUAAUCUAACGGAGGAUCGUCGUCCUUGGAUAGGAAGGGCCUAACAUGCAUCCUUUCCUUACAUAGUAAUUUUGGCCUAAGUUAAUUCAAGACUAAGGAGUGAGCAAGGGGAAUCACUUGAGUUCGAAUCCCAUGACAUGAGUUCAAAAGAAACAACAACUAGGAAUGCUACAGAUCAAAUCCAAUUAACUACACAAGGCAAAACGGCAUUUGAACCUUCGAGUUUGGGCCUGUAGGAGCCCCAGUUCCAAUGAGAACUGGUAAAUCAGGAGCUCAGACCUACAAGAAGUAAUGAAGAGCCCACGCUCGCAGAUUCCAAAAAAACACACAAAGCUAAGACAAAAUGGUAAUCCCGAUAAAACCACAAUAUUAUGCCAUAAUGAAACCUUCAUCCCUUUUUCAUUGAUUAACUCCCCAAAUCCAAUAAUUUACAAAAGACUUAAAUGUUUAUUAAAAAAUCAACGUAUUCAUUAAUCCCAUUUUGAGCCACCAAUUCAGUAUUAACAGAAAGAAUAUACACACCCUAUUUGAAUAUCAAAAGCUAAUGCAACACCACAUUUGAAGUGAGAGGUUUGGAUUAUGAGAAUAAUGACUAAGCUUAGCACUGACUUGAAAUGAAACAAAUGGAUGAAACACACAUAUAUCAUUAUUUUAGCAAGGUUUGAAUUGAAGAAGAAUAUAAUGAAAUAGUCACCACCCAGAAACUUCAUCAUACAAACUCUAUAUGAACUUAAUUGCACAUAUACCAAUUGACUGAAUAUUUAAAUUUCUACAUCCAUUCUGACUUAAAUCACCCACUUGUUAUUUUAUGCUACUUCAAUAAUACCGUGAUUACCCCCCUCCCCAGCAUUUCAAAACAAAUUUAAGCAUAAAACUAAUACCCCAAAAUAGUGACUAUUCAUUUCAGAUAAAAAUGAGACAACUCACUACAUUUAAACCUAUUCAAAACCAUUAGUGUAACAGUCCAAUAGUCCAACAUCACUUACAACACAUAGAUACAAGCUCAAAGUCUAAAAAGUGGAGUAUACUACAAACUAUAUAAUUAACUACUCUAUGAAAAUUAGCAAUAAUCGAAAAGUCAUUCAAACCAUAUAGAAAUCAUGCAGAUGCACAGAAAGUCCAACAUUGAAUCUCUUGUAAUUUCUACAAAUAAUUACAAAUCAAUUAUGUAAAGUUAACUUAGACGAAAGGUCACAAUAAACUAGAAGACAAAUGAGAAAAAAUGGAAGGGUUCUCAUGCUUCAAUUCUCUAAUCGAUUCAUUUCUCAAGUUUUCAACAUCACAAUCAGUAGGGUUAUAUAAUGGUGUACCUGAGAAAAUGAAAAUUAAAGAAAAGAGAGGUGAUCGGCACAUCAUAAUAGCAAUCAGCAUAUACGUCAGUAGAAACUAGCGGAAUCUGCUUAACUAGAGGAUUAUGGACGGAGUAAAUACAGCCUUACUCGAGCAAAUACUAAAAUAAACUUCAAAACCCAAGCUUUAACCACCAAUUUCACUCUAUUUAAUUUAUGUUCAUCAUAAAAUCUUUUUAGAAAUGAAAAGACCUAAGAAAUCACUAGAAUAUCUCAAUGAAACAAUACUUUUUGCUUAAUUUUCAACCGUUUUUGAUUUCAGGGUUUCUUAGCCCUCUCAAAUUAUGUACGUUCUGAAAAUCUCUAAUAAAAAUCUGCUCUCCAAACCUUGCCUUGCAAGGCAAGAGUGGCAUGCCUUUAUAGGCAAGCUUGUAUCCUCUUUUAAUUUUCCCUUUUUGUGUAUGUAUCCUCCAAUUAUUGACUUGCUACCCAUGUUAGUCUGAUUUUACAGCUUCUAGGAAGCUUCAUAUGUUGUUAUUGAGAGAUUCCCUAGUUGAGUUACCCCAAUUACCGUUUAAUACUUCUGAAAUUACUUUAACGGACCAACUUGGGUCCAAUUGACCCAAGGCCAAUCAGACCUAGACCCUUCUUUUCUAAAUGGGUCAGAGAUCCUAACACUCAAACAAACAAUUGACCCAGUUGACACUGAGGUACCAGAAGUAUGCAAACAUACCAUCCAUUUAAAUCUAAACAAAACAAUUUAUUUAACUAGACUAACGAAAUAGUA